rnacentral:rRNA from 1 species
UACAGAGGUCCCAAGCGUUGUUCGGAUUCACUGGGCGUAAAGGGUGCGUAGGCGGUCGGGUAAGUCUGAUGUGAAAUCUCACAGCUUAACUGUGAAACUGCAUUGGAUACUAUCCGGCUUGAGGAAUGGAGGGGAGACUGGAAUACUUGGUGUAGCAGUGAAAUGCGUAGAUAUCAAGUGGAACACCAGUGGCGAAGGCGAGUCUCUGGACAUUUCCUGACGCUGAGGCACGAAAGCGUGGGGAGCAAACAGG